rnacentral:rRNA from 1 species
AGAACGAACGCUGGCGGCAUGCCUAAUACAUGCAAGUCGAACGAACACUUCGGUGUUAGUGGCGCACGGGUGCGUAACGCGUGGGAAUCUGCCCUUGGGUUCGGAAUAACAGUUGGAAACGACUGCUAAUACCGGAUGAUAUCGAAAGAUCAAAGAUUUAUCGCCCAGGGAUGAGCCCGCGUAGGAUUAGCUAGUUGGUGAGGUAAAGGCUCACCAAGGCGACGAUCCUUAGCUGGUCUGAGAGGAUGAUCAGCCACACGUGGGACUGAGACCACGGCCCAGACUCCGUACGGGAGGCAGCGAGGUAGGGAAUAUUGGGACAAGUGGGCGACAAGCCUGAUCCAGCAAUCGCCGCGUGAGUGACGUGAACGGUCCGUUAGGGUUAGUAAAGUCGUUACC